AACGAACGCUGGCGGCAGGCUUAACACAUGCAAGUCGAACGCCCCGCAAGGGGAGGUGGCAGACGGGUGAGUAACACGUGGGAACGUGCCCUAAGGUUUGGAAUAUUCUCGGGAAACUGGGAGCAAUACCAAAUGUGACCGCAAGGUGAAAGAUUUAUCGCCUUAGGAUCGGCCCGCGUCAGAUUAGGUAGUUGGUGGGGUAAUGGCCUACCAAGCCGACGAUCUGUAGCUGGUCUGAGAGGACGACCAGCCACACUGGGACUGAGACACGGCCCAGACUCCUACGGGAGGCAGCAGUGGGGAAUCUUGGACAAUGGGCGCAAGCCUGAUCCAGCCAUGCCGCGUGAGUGAUGAAGGCCCUAGGGUUGUAAAACUCUUUCGUGGGGGACGAUAAUGACGGUACCCCAAGAAGAAGCUCCGGCUAACUUCGUG
rnacentral:rRNA from 1 species